UACGGAGGAUGCAAGCGUUAUCCGGAAUGAUUGGGCGUAAAGCGUCCGCAGGUGGCUAUGUAAGUCUGCUGUUAAAGAGUCUAGCUCAACUAGAUAAGAGCAGUGGAAACUACAAGGCUAGAGUACGUUCGGGGCAGAGGGAAUUCCUGGUGUAGCGGUGAAAUGCGCAGAUAUCAGGAAGAACACCAAUGGCGAAAGCAGCUCUCUGGGACGGUACUGACGCUGAGACGCGAAAGCGUGGGGAGCGAACAGG
rnacentral:rRNA from 1 species